AAGACUAUAGACCUGCGGAGUACCUGCGGAGUGAUCAUUAACGUAUCUAUGAUGGGGUGCGGAGCGCCCUGCUCCGGUCGAACGGCCGUGCAGUGGGUGCGCCGCCCCCGUCCCACCUCACAAACCCACUGUGAACAUUCACCGGUGGAGGGGGCUCGGUCUGCGCCGUGUCCCCGAUGCCGAAUACCCAAACUCCAGUUGCAAAGAACGUCGUGCGGACUCGGUGCCGCCUAAAACAUG
rnacentral:misc_RNA from 1 species